rnacentral:rRNA from 1 species
UACGUAGGGGGCAAGCGUUGUCCGGAAUCAUUGGGCGUAAAGAGCGUGUAGGCGGCCCGGUAAGUCCGCUGUGAAAGUCCAGGGCUCAACCCCUGGAAUGCCGGUGAAAAACUGUCGGGCUAGAGUCCGGAAGAGGCGAGUGGAAUUCCUGGUGUAGCGGUGAAAUGCGCAGAUAUCAGGAGGAACACCAAUGGCGAAGGCAGCUCGCUGGGACGGUACUGACGCUGAGACGCGAAAGCGUGGGGAGCAAACAGG